rnacentral:misc_RNA from 1 species
GCAAACUUGGUCAUUUAGAGGAAGUAAAAGUCGUAACAAGGUUUCCGUAGGUGAACCUGCGGAAGGAUCAUUAUUGAAUAAACUUGUGUGGGCUGUUGCUGACCUCCUUGGAGCGUAUGUGCACGCCUGUUCACUGUUUCAUUCUUGCCUUCCACCUGUGCACUCUCUGUAGGUUUGAGCUGUGUCUUUUGGGUGCAGUCACUGUGCCCAGCAAUGAGGAUUGCACUUCUCUGCCUUCCUUGGACUGGCUCAAGCUUAUGUCUUUAUAACAUCCACAUGUGUAAUAGAAUGCUUUAUCUUGGGAUCUAUGCAGACCCAUAAAACCCUAUACAACUUUCAACAACGGAUCUCUUGGCUCUCGCAUCGAUGAAGAACGCAGC